UUAGCUGGUAAACUUUCAAUCUGUGUGUUUUUUUCUCUCUGAUGCUGUUUAGGUAUUUGUGGAGUAUGUUCAUGCCUGACUUGGUUUUUAAUCGUGUUUUUAUCUUUCUGGUUUGUAACAAAUGUGAUACGCGUUCCGGACCAAUUGUCAUGGUAACCGGUCUGAUAUGGGAAAUCAGCCAAUCAGAGUGCAUGUAGCGUCGCAGCCAUAUAAUAAUCUUAACUAUUUUUUGUGUUGUAUCUUAUGGCCCAGUCACACAGCACUUAACGAAGGGCAACGAAGCCCUAACAAAGAAGAAAUCUGGACUUUCGUUGGCAUCAUUUAACAUUCAUGCAGCUUUGUUCUGCAGCUGGCGAUUCGUCAGAUUUUUAUACUGUUGAAAAUUUGAACUAAGGGCAACAAAAACCUCAAUUCACCCGUUUCUGUGAAGGCUCUCAGUUGUCCAGGUGGUUUCCAUAGUAGAGAAGACUCUACUAUCA